rnacentral:lncRNA from 1 species
CGUUGAUAUUGGCUUGAAGUCUCUUAGUUUAUGGUUGUACCAAAGCCUUAACCUUGGAUACGUCAGGUAUCUGAGCACUGGGAGUUCUUAUAGAAAAGAACAGUUUGCUUCGUUUCUCUGGGAGACUGAUUCAAACAGACUCAUCAACACGACCAGGGUAAAUACACAGUUCUCUUUUUUGCCUCUUCAGAAGAUAAAUAAUGCCCAGGUAAAGUUUGCAACCGAAGCAGAAGCAGGGAGAAGAGAAAUUCUGGACAUCUGUUUUCACAAUUAUCCAGGUGAUCUGUAAGUUCCUGAAGAGGAAGCUGAGUUACUGAAGGUUGUAUCUCUGAUACUUGACACAGUGCCUGGUAGGUAUUCACUAAUCAUUUGUUGAAUGACUGAAUGGAUGCAGAACAAACUGGACCUAUUAAUCAUCCACGGAGAGACCAUGCCUGGUACCUGAUUCCAAUAGGAUAGCUCAAUGGAAUUCGAGACAACGCAGAGCACUUGUUUGCUCCUACU